rnacentral:rRNA from 1 species
UACGAAGGGGGCUAGCGUUGCUCGGAAUCACUGGGCGUAAAGGGUGCGUAGGCGGGUCUUUAAGUCAGGGGUGAAAUCCUGGAGCUCAACUCCAGAACUGCCUUUGAUACUGAAGAUCUUGAGUUCGGGAGAGGUGAGUGGAACUGCGAGUGUAGAGGUGAAGUUCGUAGAUAUUCGCAAGAACACCAGUGGCGAAGGCGGCUCACUGGACUGGUACUGACGCUGAGGCGCGAAAGCGUGGGGAGCAAACAGG